rnacentral:sRNA from 1 species
CCUCGUCGAUCUGCUGCGGGCAGAUGAAAUGGAUGUGGGUAUCGAGCGCGCCGGCGGUCAGGAUCUUGCCCUCGCCGGCGAUCGCCUCGGUGCCCGGGCCGACGAUGAUGUCGACGCCCGGCUGCACGUCCGGAUUGCCGGCCUUGCCGAUGGCGGCGAUCUUGCCGUCCUUCAGGCCGACAUCGGCCUUCACGAUGCCCCAGUGGUCGACGAUCAGCACGUUGGUGAUGACGGUGUCGACGGCACCGUCGGCGCGCGUCGUCUGCGCCUGGCCCAUGCCGUCGCGGA